UGACACAUGCAAGUCGAACGGUAACAGGGACUUCGGUCUGCUGACGAGUGGCGCACGGGUGAGUAACGCGUGGAUAUCUGCCUAUUAGUGGGGGACAACUACAGGAAACUGUAGCUAAUACCGCAUAAUCUCUACGGAGGAAAGCAGGGGACCUUUCGGGGCCUUGCGCUGAUAGAUGAGUCCGCGUCUGAUUAGCUAGUUGGUAAGGUAAUGGCUUACCAAGGCGAUGAUCAGUAACUGGUUUGAGAGGAUGAUCAGUCACACUGGAACUGAGACACGGUCCAGACUCCUACGGGAGGCAGCAGUGGGGAAUAUUGCACAAUGGGGGAAACCCUGAUGCAGCGACGCCGCGUGCGGGAAGAAGGCCUUCGGGUUGUAAACCGCUUUCAAUUGGGAAGAAGAGGACUGUAACAGUAGAAGAAGCUCCGGCUAACUCCGUGCCAGCAGCCGCGGUAAUACGUAAGUGGCGAGCGUUAUCCGGAAUUACUGGGCGUAAAGCGUUCGUAGGCGGCGCAGCAAGUUGGAUUUUAAAGACCGGGGCUCAACUCCGGAAUCGGGUCCAAAACUGCAGUGCUAGAGCAAAUCAGAGGGUAGUGGAAUUCCCGGUGUAGCGGUAAUAUGCGUAGAGAUCGGGAGGAACACCAGUGGCGAAGGCGGCUACCUGGGGUUGGCUGACGCUGAGGAACGAAAGCUAGGGGAGCGAACGGGAUUAGAUACCCCGGUAGUCCUAGCUGUAAACGAUGGACACUAGGUGUAGGGAGCUUCGACCCUCUCUGCGCCGGCGCUAACGCAUUAAGUGUCCCGCCUGGGGACUACGGCCGCAAGGCUAAAACUCAAAGGAAUUGACGGGGCCCCGCACAAGCAGUGGAGCAUGUGGUUUAAUUCGAUGCUACGCGAAGAACCUUACCAGGACUUGACAUCCCUCGGACCGCUUUUAGAAAUAUUAGCUUCUCUUCGGAGCCGGGGUGACAGGUGGUGCAUGGCCGUCGUCAGCUCGUGCCGUGAGGUGUUGGAUUAAGUUCCGCAACGAGCGCAACCCUCGUUGUUAGUUGCCAUCAUUAAGUUGGGUACUCUAGCGAGACUGCCAGCGUCAAGCUGGAGGAAGGUGGGGACGACGUCAGGUCAUCAUGCCCCUUACGUCCUGGGCUACACACGUGCUACAAUGGGCGGUACAACGGGUUGCCACACCGCGAGGUGGAGCGAAUCCUCAAAACCGUUCUCAGUUCGAAUUGGAGGCUGCAACUCGCCUCCAUGAAGUUGGAAUUGCUAGUAAACGUGGAUCAGCAUGCCGCGUUGAAUACGUACCCGGGGCUUGUACACACCGCCCGUCACACCAUGGAAGUUGGUAACACCCGAAGUCCGUGCGCUAACCGCAAGGAGGCAGCGGCCGAAGGUGGGAUCAAUGACUGGGGUGAAGUCGUAACAAGGUAGCC
rnacentral:rRNA from 1 species